GGGUUGUGAGGUUAAGCGACUAAGCGUACACGGUGGAUGCCCUGGCAGUCAGAGGCGAUGAAGGACGUGCUAAUCUGCGAUAAGCGUCGGUAAGGUGAUAUGAACCGUUAUAACCGGCGAUUUCCGAAUGGGGAAACCCAGUGUGUUUCGACACACUAUCAUUAACUGAAUCCAUAGGUUAAUGAGGCGAACCGGGGGAACUGAAACAUCUAAGUACCCCGAGGAAAAGAAAUCAACCGAGAUUCCCCCAGUAGCGGCGAGCGAACGGGGAGCAGCCCAGAGCCUGAAUCAGUGUGUGUGUUAGUGGAAGCGUCUGGAAAGGCGCGCGAUACAGGGUGACAGCCCCGUACACAAAAAUGCACAUAUUGUGAGCUCGAUGAGUAGGGCGGGACACGUGGUAUCCUGUCUGAAUAUGGGGGGACCAUCCUCCAAGGCUAAAUACUCCUGACUGACCGAUAGUGAACCAGUACCGUGAGGGAAAGGCGAAAAGAACCCCGGCGAGGGGAGUGAAAAAGAACCUGAAACCGUGUACGUACAAGCAGUGGGAGCACGCUUAGGCGUGUGACUGCGUACCUUUUGUAUAAUGGGUCAGCGACUUAUAUUCUGUAGCAAGGUUAACCGAAUAGGGGAGCCGAAGGGAAACCGAGUCUUAACUGGGCGUUAAGUUGCAGGGUAUAGACCCGAAACCCGGUGAUCUAGCCAUGGGCAGGUUGAAGGUUGGGUAACACUAACUGGAGGACCGAACCGACUAAUGUUGAAAAAUUAGCGGAUGACUUGUGGCUGGGGGUGAAAGGCCAAUCAAACCGGGAGAUAGCUGGUUCUCCCCGAAAGCUAUUUAGGUAGCGCCUCGUGAAUUCAUCUCCGGGGGUAGAGCACUGUUUCGGCAAGGGGGUCAUCCCGACUUACCAACCCGAUGCAAACUGCGAAUACCGGAGAAUGUUAUCACGGGAGACACACGGCGGGUGCUAACGUCCGUCGUGAAGAGGGAAACAACCCAGACCGCCAGCUAAGGUCCCAAAGUCAUGGUUAAGUGGGAAACGAUGUGGGAAGGCCCAGACAGCCAGGAUGUUGGCUUAGAAGCAGCCAUCAUUUAAAGAAAGCGUAAUAGCUCACUGGUCGAGUCGGCCUGCGCGGAAGAUGUAACGGGGCUAAACCAUGCACCGAAGCUGCGGCAGCGACGCUUAUGCGUUGUUGGGUAGGGGAGCGUUCUGUAAGCCUGCGAAGGUGUGCUGUGAGGCAUGCUGGAGGUAUCAGAAGUGCGAAUGCUGACAUAAGUAACGAUAAAGCGGGUGAAAAGCCCGCUCGCCGGAAGACCAAGGGUUCCUGUCCAACGUUAAUCGGGGCAGGGUGAGUCGACCCCUAAGGCGAGGCCGAAAGGCGUAGUCGAUGGGAAACAGGUUAAUAUUCCUGUACUUGGUGUUACUGCGAAGGGGGGACGGAGAAGGCUAUGUUGGCCGGGCGACGGUUGUCCCGGUUUAAGCGUGUAGGCUGGUUUUCCAGGCAAAUCCGGAAAAUCAAGGCUGAGGCGUGAUGACGAGGCACUACGGUGCUGAAGCAACAAAUGCCCUGCUUCCAGGAAAAGCCUCUAAGCAUCAGGUAACAUCAAAUCGUACCCCAAACCGACACAGGUGGUCAGGUAGAGAAUACCAAGGCGCUUGAGAGAACUCGGGUGAAGGAACUAGGCAAAAUGGUGCCGUAACUUCGGGAGAAGGCACGCUGAUAUGUAGGUGAAGUCCCUUGCGGAUGGAGCUGAAAUCAGUCGAAGAUACCAGCUGGCUGCAACUGUUUAUUAAAAACACAGCACUGUGCAAACACGAAAGUGGACGUAUACGGUGUGACGCCUGCCCGGUGCCGGAAGGUUAAUUGAUGGGGUUAGCGCAAGCGAAGCUCUUGAUCGAAGCCCCGGUAAACGGCGGCCGUAACUAUAACGGUCCUAAGGUAGCGAAAUUCCUUGUCGGGUAAGUUCCGACCUGCACGAAUGGCGUAAUGAUGGCCAGGCUGUCUCCACCCGAGACUCAGUGAAAUUGAACUCGCUGUGAAGAUGCAGUGUACCCGCGGCAAGACGGAAAGACCCCGUGAACCUUUACUAUAGCUUGACACUGAACAUUGAGCCUUGAUGUGUAGGAUAGGUGGGAGGCUUUGAAGUGUGGACGCCAGUCUGCAUGGAGCCGGCCUUGAAAUACCACCCUUUAAUGUUUGAUGUUCUAACGUUGACCCGUAAUCCGGGUUGCGGACAGUGUCUGGUGGGUAGUUUGACUGGGGCGGUCUCCUCCUAAAGAGUAACGGAGGAGCACGAAGGUUGGCUAAUCCUGGUCGGACAUCAGGAGGUUAGUGCAAUGGCAUAAGCCAGCUUGACUGCGAGCGUGACGGCGCGAGCAGGUGCGAAAGCAGGUCAUAGUGAUCCGGUGGUUCUGAAUGGAAGGGCCAUCGCUCAACGGAUAAAAGGUACUCCGGGGAUAACAGGCUGAUACCGCCCAAGAGUUCAUAUCGACGGCGGUGUUUGGCACCUCGAUGUCGGCUCAUCACAUCCUGGGGCUGAAGUAGGUCCCAAGGGUAUGGCUGUUCGCCAUUUAAAGUGGUACGCGAGCUGGGUUUAGAACGUCGUGAGACAGUUCGGUCCCUAUCUGCCGUGGGCGCUGGAGAACUGAGGGGGGCUGCUCCUAGUACGAGAGGACCGGAGUGGACGCAUCACUGGUGUUCGGGUUGUCAUGCCAAUGGCACUGCCCGGUAGCUAAAUGCGGAAGAGAUAAGUGCUGAAAGCAUCUAAGCACGAAACUUGCCCCGAGAUGAGUUCUCCCUGACUCCUUGAGAGUCCUGAAGGAACGUUGAAGACGACGACGUUGAUAGGCCGGGUGUGUAAGCGCAGCGAUGCGUUGAGCUAACCGGUACUAAUGAACCGUGAGGCUUAACCUUACAACGCCGAAG
rnacentral:rRNA from 1 species